rnacentral:ncRNA from 1 species
UGCCGUGGGCUACAGAACUUCUUCUGUUCACUUAGCAUUCAUAAGAUGACAUAUUUUGUAAAUUAUUGUUUAGUAAAUACCAUAACAAGUUGGAAGAAGCUUACUGGAAUUUUAAUGUUAAAAUGCCAUAAAGUUUUACAUUUCAUAUUCAGAGUUGAUAUUUGGAUGGCUUCAGAACAUAGUCAAAUUGACAAAAGCUCUUCUGGAAUAGGAUUCCAGUUCUAUUCAGUUGCUUUUCGGAAACGGGGCCAUGCUUAAGAGGGACAGCCAGGGACAUUCGUAUUGUGCUGCUAGAGGUGAAAUUCUUGGACCGGUGCAAGAUUGCCUAGAGCGAAAGCAUUUUCCAGGAAUGUUUUAAUUAGCCAAGAAUGAAAGUCAGACGUUCAAAGAUGAUCAGAUACUGUUGUAGUUCUGACCAUAAAUGACACUGACUGGCACUAAAUUCUUAAGAACAGUCUCUGUGGCGCAACUGGUCAGCGCAUUUGGCUGUUAACCAAAAGGUUGGUGGUUCGAGCCCACCCA